UCCGACCUCGGAUCAGACGGGAAUACCCGCUGAAUUUAAGCAUAUCAGUAAGCGGAGGAAAAGAAACUAACCAGGAUUCCCUCAGUAACGGCGAGUGAAGCGGGAAGAGCC
rnacentral:rRNA from 1 species